AUUGAACGCUGGCGGCAGGCCUAACACAUGCAAGUCGAACGAGUGGCGGACGGGUGAGUAAUGUCUGGGAAACUGCCUGAUGGAGGGGGAUAACUACUGGAAACGGUAGCUAAUACCGCAUACCAUCGGGUGUGCCCAGAUGGGAUUAGCUAGUAGGUGGGGGAAAGGCUCACCAAGGCGACGUUCCCUAGCUGGUCUGAGAGGAUGACCGGCCACACUGAAACUGAGACACGGCCCAGACUCUUAGGGGAGGCACAAGUGGGGAAUAUUGCACAAUGGGGGCAAGCCUGAUGCAGCCAGGCCGGGUGUAUGAAGAAGGCCUUCGGGUGGUAAAGUAGUUUCAGCGGGGAGGCGUUACCCGCAGAAGAAGCACCGGCUAACUCCGGGCCAGAAGCCGCGGUAAUUC
rnacentral:rRNA from 1 species